UACUGCCUAGUGGAAAUAGAUUUAGCUGAAGGUGUCUGUUUACUAAUUGUUGAUGAUGACUGAUUUUGUUUCUUUCUUCACUAAAUCCAUGCGGACACAAGAUCCUCCUUUUCUCUGAUAAAAACACCCAUACAACCCUUUUUUGGCACACCACAGCAGCACCCAGAAUUCUUAGCAAAUGAAGGCCAACACCAUCCUGAAAUGGCUAGCUGUCUCCCUCGCCAUUUUGAUCGCUCUUAGCCAGUCCAGAGCGGAAGAAACACAACCCCUUUCAAACAAUCUGAAAAUCGAUCUUUUUCUUGACAAAAUUGGUCAGUGGAGUCAUCAUCACAUACAAUCUCAAGAAACAGGAUUGAAACUAGCACCCUCUAUGGUGAUAGCUGGAGCUUUAUGUUUCAUAGCUGCCUCUAUAUCUAGUGCAGGUGGCAUUGGUGGAGGGGGGUUGUAUAUUCCAAUACUAACUAUAGUGGCAAGUCUAGACCUGAAAACAGCCUCAAGUUUCUCAGCUUUUAUGGUCACUGGAGGGUCUGUUGCUAAUGUCAUGUGUAACAUGUUUACAAGAAGUGCGAAGUUCGGUGGUCAGACCUUGGUAGACUAUGAUAUUGCAAUUCUGUCUGAACCGUGCAUGUUGUUAGGGGUUAGUGUUGGGGUUAUUUGUAAUCUUGUUUUCCCAGAGUGGCUUGUCACAAUUUUGUUCGCUGUUUUUCUUGCUUGUUCUACCUUUAAGACUUGUCAGAAUGGCGUUUUUCAUUGGAAGUUGGAAUCGGAAGAAGUGAAUAGAAAUGGAAGUGGGAAUUUGGAAAAUAGAUUGGUUGAAAAUGAGACGAGCACUAAGGGAAGUGAAGAGGUGAUAUGCAGUGUCAAGGAGCCUCUUUUGGGUGUAGAAUUAACUAGUUCCGUAUUGAAGUUUCCAUGGAUGAAGUUGGGGAUAUUAUUCAUCAUCUGGUUCUCCUUCUCCAUCCUCUAUCUUCUUCGAGGCAAUCGGUAUGGAGAGGGUAUUAUACCAAUGGAGUCCUGUGGAUUUGGAUAUUGGGUUGUCUCAUCACUUCAAAUUCCUCUUGCAAUAAUUUUCACAGCAUUGAUACUGUACAUGAAAGAGAGCUGCCAACAUCAAACUAUAAACCAGCAGGGCAUGGAAGACCUAACAGGAGGUGGAACAUCAAAUAAGCUGAUUUUCCCAGUCAUGGCAUUAUUAGCAGGGAUGUUGGGAGGAGUUUUUGGGAUUGGAGGUGGAAUGCUUAUCAGCCCACUUCUGCUUCAAGUUGGAAUAGCACCUGAGAUAACUGCAGCAACUUGCUCGUUCAUGGUUUUCUUUUCAUCUUCAAUGUCGGCAUUACAGUAUCUAUUGUUGGGCAUGGAUCAUGUUGAUACCGCCAUCAUCCUUUCCUUCAUUUGUUUUGUUGCGUCACUUCUUGGGUUGCUGGUGGUACAGGGGGCCAUAGUAAAAUAUGGCAGGGCUUCAAUGAUUGUAUUCUCAGUUAGUACAGUAAUGGCUUUGAGUACUGUUCUGAUGACCAGCUUUGGAGCUCUUAAUGUUUGGGUGGAUUAUAAUUCUGGGAGAAACAUGGGGUUCAAACUACCCUGUUGAAGAAAGUUUUGUGUUAGUAAUUAGCUCCUAGAUUAGGUUCAGUUUUGAGUGCCAAGCUUGAAAUAAAAAGAACUACAUAUAGCAAAAGCAAUUUGUAUAGUAAUUCCUGAAAGCCUUGGAUGGCAGAGUCAGAUAGUCAUCAAGAGCAGCCAGGAUAGAUAAGAUCCUUUGAAAUAAAAUUAUGACUGCUUUUUUAGCA